rnacentral:lncRNA from 1 species
GAUCUUGGAGUGUUGAUGGACUCGACUCUUGAUUUUAAAGACCAAUUUAAUCACACUCUUAGCAGUGCUAAUAGGCUACUUGGUUUUAUACCUCGUAAUUCAAAACCUUUUACUAGUUGUGAUGUAAGUAUAAAACUGUUUAAUGCACUGGUCCGGAGUAAACUUGAGUAUGCAUCUAUGGUGUGGGGUCCUGCUAAUGUAACUGAUAGCUACGAAAUUGAGAAGAUUCAAAAUAGAUUUCUAAGACACCUUUUCAUCAAGAAAUUCAGUAUCUUCUGUCCAUUCAAUUUUCCAACUAGUGAAUUGAGAUCCUUAUUUUAUAUCCGGUCAUUGCAGGUGCGGAGAUCAUUAAAUGCCCUAUUGUUGUUAUAUAAUAUUUUAAAUCAUAACAUCCAUUUACCAUAUUUUAUCAGCCGAAUUAAUUUCAGUGUACCAUAUGCAAGACCUAGAAGGAAUAUAUUGUUCGAGAUUCCCUUUGCUAGAACAAACCAUCAUUACAACUCAUUUCUUUAUAAAACCUUACGACUAGUUUAAUAGCUUGAAUGAACACAUUGAUCCUUUUUCGAACUCAUUCAAUGAAUAUAAGAAACAUUGUGAACUGAAUCUAUCAUAAGACAAGACGCUCGUUUUUGAGAUUAAUUGUUUUGUAAACUCUGGCUGGAACUCUCUUUUCACAUUUUUCUUUAUAUGAAUGUAAUUAAUUUGAUUAUUUCAACUGUGUAAAUGCUUUUUGCUUUCUUUUCUUUAUUUACUAUAUUUCAUAAUGUAUAUAAGUUGAAUUGUUGUUUCAUUUAAUUGUGUAAAUAUAUGGCUCUUUAUGGAUCUCUGUGAGCCUUUGUAUGUAAAGAAAAUGAAUAAAUAAAAAUAACAGUCUUCCAUAUGUGCUUGUAAUAUUGUGAGCUUAUUAAGACUUAUCAAAUGCAACUGUAGGUUGUGAAAUGUACUGUGUUGAAUAAAACUAUUAUCUUAUCUUAUCUUCUUACCUAUUAGCAAUAGUCUGUGACACUUGAACACUUGAGGACAUUGCUCUCACCAAAAAAAAAUCUUUUACCAGUAAAUUUUAUUCCAAUUAAUAAAUCUGGAUAAAACUUUAGAAUACAUACGUUCACGAUUUGAAUUGAUUUAUCAAUUUUUAAAGCGUUACUCAAUCCUCCACAAUUAUUUGGUAGUUAGUAGCCAUUACUCAAGCACAAGUCUGUGUCGAAUGUGGUCAUCACCCUCAGUAAAAACCUUAUCCAAUUGAAUUCCAUUAAUCUAAUCUAGAUACAUUUUUUCAAAUAGUAUUAUUUUAAAGCGUUCACAUUGUACAUAUGAUCAAUUACUAGCUUCAUUGAAAUCGGAUAACUAAUUUCACAGUACUUGAAUGUAUUCUUUUGUGUUAUGUUGUAGGUGUGAAGAGAGAAGUUUGUUGUGGUGGGGGGAGGGGACAGCUUGGUAUACUGAUUGCUGUAAUGGGAUGACAGCUUACAAGUAUGGUACUUGAGAGAUGGCUGAAUUUCUGAUCGAACGUAACAGCUCGGUGACAAGAAAGAACGAAGACCCCUCCAUUACACCUCAUAAAUGGGAUACAAUGACCUUGUGCGCCUUGUGACCUUGUGCUCCACAACUGUGGAGCCGACAUCAACGCUAAAGAUAAGAUGAUACCAAAACAUAUUACACAGUGUAGAUGGACAGAUAGAAAGUGUGAACAUCAAAAGCCAUCGUGUGUGUUACCCAGUUUCCAUUCUGCAUCUAACAAUAGUAACCGAACAUCCAACAUCAUAACUGUAUUAUAUCAUCUAGUUAAUUUUGAUAUUACAUUAACUAAAAAGCUUUCCUCAUAAUAUACAAGAAAUUAAUACAUUGCCGAGAUUGUCAAAGAUGUGAAUUUUCAAUGUGCUUUGAUGCAAAUUAUUGCAAAAAACUAAUAUCAUGGUUAGCUAUGCAUAAAUUAAUAGGCAUGAUGCUCAUUCUUUACUGAAUCGAAAUAAGCUGUUAUAACUUUGUCAACUAUUAAUUUGGUUUUCAAUAAACUAGUUAUGAUCAGAUGCCUUAUUAAUAAAUGCAAAAUUCAUGUAGGUUAUGUAGCUUUUCUGCAAUAAACUAAAAUUACUCAAUAAUUAAGUUGUUUAAGUUAGGCCACAUUCACACCAGAGUUGUCAACUGAGUUCUCAACAAUGAGACAAUUUCUAGAUAUCCUUGUUUUAAACAAAAAGUUUAGUUUCCUAACCAGUAUGAGAAACACUGAAAAAGUUGUGAACAAAAUCUUCUACCUCUACAAGUCCACGCAGACUAUACAGUCUCUUUUAGGCUAAUUCUUUGACAACUAGUACUCUACUCUGUUGCUCUACAAAAGAACAUCAACUUUAUGUAGAAAACUGUUCAUGUACCAAAUUUUUUUGUUGACAACUUUGGUGUAAAUGCAGCAGCUUCAGCAUUUAUCCUUAUCCAUUAAAUUAUAUUGUUGUACUUGAGUAUACUCUUCACUUUUAAUUAGCCUAUGUCGCACCUGGCUAUUCCAUUAUCUGCGAGCGAAAUAGUAACAACUAUCAACAGUAUAUAGCUGGCUUUUAGAAUUCCACUAGCUUCAAAAGUUGAACAUGUCAACAAUUCAUUCGGGCCACUGAGACAAGUACGCAGGUAAUGAAUAAUUGAGUAUCACAUUAACUGUUUUGUUAGAAGCUAUACAAGCAUCGUUUGUCAGGUGUGACACAUGGGCUUAACUUUAUAAGGCUUGCUAUAAUGAUUCUAAUCUGAAACAAAUAAUAGCUAUAAUACUUUGAAAUCAUUAAAAAAUAUUAUUUUCCACAGAAUAGGCAAUGUCGUUAUUGUUAGUCACUUUAGGUACGCCUGUAUUUCUAAUUUUAAUUUUUGUAAAAUCUCAAAUUGAUUUUUUCUUCAUUCAUAUGCAAUAUAUACCGGUAAUCUUCUAUUCCAUCUUACAUUACAUUAAUUCCAAAAAAGUUGGCAUAAUAUUAUUAUAUUAAAUUGAUGGUUAGCUGUCACAGGAGAAUAGAAAGGCUAUUAUAUCUAUGAACUCAGUACGGUAACCAAUAACAAAUAAUAAUUUGUCUAUUGAUGAAAAAAUAUUUUAUAAAAUAGGAAUAUCCAAUGUAAGUUAACCUUCCGGCAGUCGCGCUGUUGUAAAAAGUACAACAGUGUCAGUUUUUUUGCUGCACAAAGCUAUUGAAUGGAGUGGUGUCAGUGAAUGAGUCACCUAUGUAUUCCAAAACUUCCUCCCCAUCACUCCACUGAGUUGCAGUAUCAACCGAGCAAUGGUUCAGUCUUUAGGUGCCCUUUAGUCGCGACAGUUCAUAAGUAUAGUGUAUACGAUAAACAGUGCAUAGGGAGAAAGACUGCCAAGGAACCAAUAACACAGCAGAAUUGUUGGCUUUGCUUGGUGUACCUUAUUGGGCUACGAAAAGAUAAUCAUGCAAAUAUUCAUAGGCGUAAUAUAAUUCAAUUUAUUUCACCAAAACACAGAAAACAGUACAAAGAUGUGACAAUCAGAAAAAAAAUUAUUAUUCUAAAUAUCUAUAUCUAUCUGAAAAAUACGGCUGGAGGUGAAGAACUACUGGCAUAAGUGUAACACUUGUUCGCCAGUAGGAGUAGAGACUUAACUGUUUCUAAAUCUUAACUAAUAAUUAAAAAUGGAAUCUUUUUAUUUAAAAUGAAUGCUAUCAAUUGUGAAUUUAUUCUGACAAUAAUGAAUAGUUUUAAAAGCAGAAAAAAAUUUGAACUCAUAAAAUAUUAAGAUGGAAGUAAUAGUUGUGAAGUAUCCAGUUUUUAAUAUUUAUUGGAACAAACUAUUUAGAUGGAAAUAUUGAUUAUACAAUUAAUAUGAUUUGACAGUAAACAGAGUACAUAACACAUAAAAAAUAGAAUGUUGUAAAAAUUACAACAUGCGACUGCUGUUGUGAUUAGCUCGAGUAGGGCGCGACUUCCAGAAGGUUAAUGGUACUAUUACUUGAUUUCUAUAUUAAGGCAUUUAUCUCAAUUAUUAUGAAAAUUUAUUAUUCAAAUCAUCAUAAAACUAUUUUUUCUUGACAAAUAAAAUAUUAUUGAUUAUUUUAAACAAGUCACCAGAAUCUUAGAUUCAAAUAUUGAUUACCAUACAAUAUUAGGUACGGUAUUUGCAAUUAGAAAUUUAGAUCUCUCAACAUUUAUGGGAAGUUGAAGUGCAGUGAUGGUUUUUCUUCUUGAGGUAUACCAUUGGACAUUUAAUUAAUAAAUAUAUCUAUCAACAAGCAUUUCAGACAAAACAUAAAGUUUUUUGUUGGACUUGAAUAGAGUUUCUAAUUAGAGCUUUCAAAAUUAUUAUACCGUAUUCAGUCUAUUUCUCAUUCUUCUACUACUAGGUUGGUACGUUAUUAGGGCCAGAUCAUAUUUUAUUUAUCACAAGAACAAUAUGACGCGUUUCUUCUAGGCGCCAAUCAAAGAGCUCACUGCCCUGCCGACUCUAAAAACGCUUAAUUUGGUCUUUUGAUAAGAAUGACCGGUAACGUUGAACUUGUUCAAACAGCCAAGCCAUCUACUCGUAUGCUACUAAUUUAUGAGUUUACGGUACUAAUGACAUUGCACACUUACUAACAAGAUUACCAGGUAGCCGAAGUUUAAUAAAGUAGAAUAAAAUCCUCUAUUCUUUAAGUUUUCAAUAAACUUGCUUAUAUUCAUUGUUGACCGCCAACACAAAUCUCAUUACCGGGAGUCUUUAUUAAUUCGAUGGAUUCAUCAAGUAGCCUGGACACAUUUAUGAUGUUGGUUAUUCUACUGAGAUUCAAAGCUGAAACAAGUAAAUAUCCCUCUUCUAUAUUAAUUUUUAAUAUCAUUAAAGUUGUUAUAUCAUUUAGUUUUCUUCAGUUCAUGGUUAGCAUACAGUAUUUUUGAAUUUACCGGUUGAUAAUUUGAAUUUGCCGGUUAAGCCAACUUGAUAAUAGUGUUUGAUAUAUUUUGAAAUAAAGAAGAAUAAAGAGCUAAUCUACUAAUGAAUGUUUAUUUCUAAUCUAGAUAGACACAUCAAUUACAGUACUUUCAAACAAUUUUUCAUUAUAAAAUAUAAAUAUCUUUGAUUUAGAAUUACAAAACAAAUCCACGACAAAUCUGAUAAGCUAACCCAAGUAACAAUGACGACAAUGUUAUAGAAUAGAGAGCAAUCUUAUGGCUACAUUUAAUUGAACUCAGGUACUUUCAAUAAAUAAUACAAAUAGUUUUUGGUCUUACUUACAUUAUUUCUAAUUUGUUUUUAUUUUUAUGUUCGAUUCUUCAACUAACCUAAAAAUUUAGGUUAGCUGGAUGACAGUCAGCUGUUGGGCUAGACUUGACAAGGCUAGUGAGCGCGAACUAUUCAAAUACUCAAAAUGUUUGUAAACGCAGAUAGGAGCUUGAAAUUCUGCUUAAAUAAAACCAUUCCGUUACAAUAGUAACAACGAUUCAUUUUUGUCAUGGAAGUAGAAUAUUAUAUCAUUAUAUAUUUAUAUGCCUACCAUUCACUGAGAGCUUUGAUAAUAAUUUAUUUUUUAUUACUAUUCUUUCCUCAAUAUAGCAAACUCAAUCGGAGUAAUAAAGCUUUUCAAUAAUGUAAUGAUUUCAGAGAUAUUUUUUGCGAUAAAUAUAAAAUACUUCUUCUUCACUGACAAUAUUCUUUUCGAAAGUUUGUCUCAUAAACUAUAGUGAGAUCCACGUUAUAAUGGCAGUAUAUAAAGAUAGAAGAAUAGCGAUGCCGAUUCUCUGCAUUAAUUAUAUUUCUACACUGUCAAAAACAUAAUUGGCAUCGUUUUGGACCUAGAAAAGGAUAGUACCACCGGCUUUGUAGAAUGAUAGACAAGGAUAGCAAAACCAAAGUUGAUCAAAUACUGUCAUUAUAACGUGGACCUCACUAUAGUCUACAGUAUUAAACCAUUUCAUUUUAAAUAAUUUUGUACUCAAUAAUGCCUUUAUACAUUACCUAUUAAUCAUAGCUAAGUUGAUAACGUGUGCCCGGUUGCACAAAAUCCCGUUACAUUUUAAUCAUGCUUAAAUGUCACGAGAAGACUUCUCUGAUUGGUUCUCAUCAAUGGUUUAAUCACAGUUAAAGUUUUACAAGCUUUUGUGAAGCAAAUAUAUUUGUAUAACAAAAACAGGUGCUCACAGGUGCAAUAAUUGAAUUUUUCAAUUACUGUAGUCAUUAAUUUUUAGUCUUUGACUCAACUUGUUGUUGGUAAUGUUAAUCUAUCAAGUCAUUAACUAUAAAUCUCAUGUACCGUAACAGUAACUGUAAGCUUUUAUAGUAACUGUAAAAGCUCAAUGAAGUAACGGAAAUGUAGAGCCUUUUUUAAAAUCUCUUUUACAUAAAUGUGCUACAAUAAACUUACCGUACCGUAGGUGCUGCAAUUUUAUUGAAAGGUGAUUUCAGAUACCUCCAGUUGAGGCUGACAGGCAGGUGCUUCUUGAAUGUUUCAUCAGGAAAUAAUGAGCAGAGAAUUUGAAUAACUUAUGUACAUUAAUUUGCUGAGUGAUGAUGAAUCAAAGACUACAUUCAUAAACAAAUAUUUUGACAUGUCUUUCAAUCAUGAGAAUUAAUUCAAAAAAGCUCACCGUACUUAAUUUUAUUUACAAAAAAAAACUCAAUUUAAUACAAUAUAUUUCAUGGUUUGUACAUUAACUCUCAAAAAUUUUGCUUUUCUGGUGUCUAUUAAUAAUCAUUAAUAAUAUACUAAUACUGUAAUUAAUUAAAUUAUUCAACUCUGGACUGAUACAGUUGAAACAGAGAAUUUGUAUAACUUAAGUACAUUAUUUUGCUGAGCGAUAAUGAAUCAAAGACUAUAGUGAAGUCCACGUUAUAAUGGCAGUGUAGGAAGAUAGCAGAACAACGUUACCGAACCUCUGUCUUGUCAAUGCCUUCUAUAGACGGUAGCUGAUACAGGUUUAUUGAUGUAAUAUUAACUGUUCAUUCUCGUUUAAAAUAAUCAAUUAUAUUUUAUUAAGCAAGAAAUUAUAUUUUACAAUAUUUUCAUAAUUAAGAUUGAAUAUUUGAGAUGAUGGUUUCUUAUCCAUUCCGAGCUGCGAUUUAUUAACACACCUUUUUCUAUGUAUUUCACACGACAUGCAGUCAAAAAAGUGACUCUUUUGACAUCAUGUCGUGUGAAAAACAUGGAAAAAAGUGUAUUAAAUAUUUUGUUAAUUAAUUAUUAAUUCUACAUUGUUAAAAGACGAUCUGGCACCAGAGCAAAGCGAGAAAGAGAUAGCGCUAUUCGCUUUGUUGAAUGAUCGCAAUUGCCAUUAUAACGUGGACCUCACUGUAAGUGCAUGAUGCACAAAAGCCGGUUAAAUUUUAACCGUGAUUAAAACCACGAGAACCAAUCAGAGAAGCCGUCUUUUCAAAAAUGCCUGGUUCUCGUGAAAUUAAUCACGGUUAAAAUUUAACCGGCUUUUGUGCAACCGGACCUAAGUUGAAAAUUUAGAAAGUUUAUUAUUGUAGUAGUAGUUUGCCUUGGUGAUGACGAAACUCUUUGUUUACAAACACUCAGAUCAAAAAGCAUAAUAGCAAUACCUACUAUUACUUCCGGCACAAAAACUGAAGCUCUGAUAAACUAUGACGUCAUCAAAUGUAGAUUGAUUAUCUACUGGAGGUAGGCAAGCGAAAUAAGAGCGCUGAUGCUUGUUAUCCUAUAGCUGCGUAUACAUAUACGCACUUCCAACCCGCACCGAGCACGCUCCGCGCUCGUUCCUCCAUCGAACCACAGUCGCUCCGCCCACGCACCCAUCAUGAACGUUACGGAAGAUGUUAGAUCUUCUCGCGUUCCCCGGUCGAACCACUGUUGCUCCCCGGUCGAUCAUCAAUCGCUCUGCUGGAGUGACGUUUGGUUGCGGAGCAGAGCGAAAGUCUGUACGCACCUUAUACUAUUAAACGAGCAACUUCUGUUCAUAUGUUUGGAUGUUUAGAUGUUUAUAUGUUUGUAUUUCACCGGAUCUUGAAAACGGAUCUAACGAUUCUCACGAAAUUUGGAACAUAGUAGGUUUAUAAUAUAAAGAUUCGAUUGCACUAGGUCUCAUCCCUUGUAAAACUAGCUGAAGGACAUUAAAAGGAUAAUUAUUAUUCAUCCUUGGAAAAACAGCUGAUAAUAAUUAUUUCGUCGUCUGUUGGUGAUGGAAGUGAGUGAGCGAGUUCAUGUAUGUGGGACUGUGUCAAAAUUAUGACUCAGCUGUUGAACUUUUGUAAUCAUUCAAUCAGGUACUUAGUGCCGGUUGCAAAAAAGCCGGGUUAUUUUCAAUCCUGAUUGAUUCCAGUAGAUCCAUCUUUUUGAAAUGGUCUUCUCUGAUUUGGUUCACGUAAAGUUAAUCAGGAUUAAAAUUUAACCGUCUUUUGUGCAACUGGGCCUUUGUGAGGGAAAUUUUUGCAUUCCUCUGGGAAUUAAUCUCAAUUUACUGUGAUUAGAUAGAACAUUACGGUAUGAAUGUUAUUAUAAAUUCUUCUUUCGUAAUAAAUGUUUUAUGCUUUUGUACUCCAGAACGAAGCUCGGUCCCCGAUAUUUACAUAUGAUACGGUAACCAACACAAUUUAUUCGAAUUACUAAUUAUAUUUUCAAGGUCUUCCAUUUCAAUAAAUAUGGUUUGUUUCCAUUCUUCUAAUAUCCGUUUGUGAAAAGUAAUGGUGAAUUUGGAGUUUCAAAUCAUGGAAUUCUGUUGUUGUGUACCCAAUUGUCGCAGGAAUUAUAACAAGACUCCAAAAGUUUCUGUAUUCUCUUUCCGAAAGAUGAAACUUUAAAACGAAAAUGGAUAUGAGCGA